rnacentral:lncRNA from 1 species
UUUCUGAAGCUGGUUAUUUCUUCUUUUCACUAUCACCAACGAUCACCUUGGCUGGGAGAGAGCUGAUACCAGCCACGUCAUCUUUGGACCAUCAUUGCCACCCUCCUAAAACCAAGCGACAUGUAAGCUUUUGAAAAUAUCUAAAGGACAUAAUGAAACGUAGUUAUAAACUUUCAUCAGCAACAAAAUCAGGUAGUGGCGCACAUAAAUGAAGUGAUACCUCUUAUAAGCUUGAGAUUAAUGCCUGUUUUGUAGCCGUGAAGUUGUUUGUGAAACGAUACAGCCUGAUAGUCGAACACACUCACAGACAGAGACACCACCGUCGAGUCCAAAGAAGGAGCAAAUGGUUAAAGUGUUUACUCAAAAAGGCUGUUGCAUCAAUUAUCAAAGCUAUGAGGAAAUCUAGGAUAAAGAAACACAGACCUAGCGAGUGUGAUGGUUGCCAUGACACGGUUUUUGUCUCCUCGAG